rnacentral:rRNA from 1 species
UACGUAGGGGGCAAGCAUUGUCCGGAUUUAUUGGGCAUAAAGGGCGCGUAGGCGGUAUUUUAAGUCAGGUGUUAAAGGCUUCAGCUUAACUGAAGUUCGCCCCUGAAACUGAAGUACUAGAGGUUAGUAGAGGAAAGCGGAACUCACAGUGUAGCGGUGAAAUGCGUAGAUAUUGUGAGGAACAUCAGUUGCGAAGGCGGCUUUCUGGCCUGAUCCUGACGCUGAGGCGCGAAAGUGUGGGGAGCAAACGGG